rnacentral:rRNA from 1 species
UGGGGAAUUUUGGACAAUGGGGGAAACCCUGAUCCAGCCAUCCCGCGUGUGCGAUGAAGGCCUUCGGGUUGUAAAGCACUUUUGGCAGGAAAGAAACGUCGCGGGUUAAUACCCCGCGAAACUGACGGUACCUGCAGAAUAAGCACCGGCUAACUACGUGCCAGCAGCCGCGGUAAUACGUAGGGUGCAAGCGUUAAUCGGAAUUACUGGGCGUAAAGCGUGCGCAGGCGGUUCGGAAAGAAAGAUGUGAAAUCCCAGAGCUUAACUUUGGAACUGCAUUUUUAACUACCGGGCUAGAGUGUGUCAGAGGGAGGUGGAAUUCCGCGUGUAGCAGUGAAAUGCGUAGAUAUGCGGAGGAACACCGAUGGCGAAGGCAGCCUCCUGGGAUAACACUGACGCUCAUGCACGAAAGCGUGGGGAGCAAAACAGGAUUAGAUACCCUGGUAGUCCACGCCCUAAAACGAUGUCAACUAGCUGUUGGGGCCUUCGGGCCUUGGUAGCGCAGCUAACGCGUGAAGUUGACCGCCUGGGGAGUACGGUCGCAAGAUUAAAAACUU